rnacentral:tRNA from 1 species
UGGAGCCGGCGGCUCUCUUAGGGUUCCCUCAUCUGGGAAAUGCUUCGGGGAGUUGAAAAUAAGCGUAGAUCCG